AUUGAACGCUGGCGGCAGGCCUAACACAUGCAAGUCGAGCGGAGCGGCGGACGGGUGAGUAUUGCCUAGGUAUCUGCCUGUUAGUGGGGGAUCACUUCCGGUAACGGGCGCUAUUACUGCAUCCUAUCACAUUAGGCUCGGUCGGAUUAGCUAGUUGGUGGGGUAAAGGCCUACCAAGGCGACGAUCCGUAACUGGUCGGAGAGGAUGAUCAGUCACACUGGAACUGAGACAAGGUCCAGAAGCCUACGGGAGGCAGCAGUGGGGAAUAUUGGACAAUGGGCGAAAGACUGAUCCAGCCAUGCCGCGUGUGUGAAGAAGGUCUUCGGAUUGUAAAGCACUUUAAGUUGGGAGGCGUUACCAACAGAAUAAGCACCGGCUAACUCCGUGCCAGCAGCCGCGGUAAUAC
rnacentral:rRNA from 1 species